AAUGCAUGAGAACUUGGUUUGAGUUUAGUACAGACUGAGGACAACAAAAAUCAAUAUAACCUCUUAUCGAUUCUUUAUUAGAAUUUUGUCUUAACCCUCCGGAGAGAUCCAAAAGCAUACAAUAGAUUCUAACAUAUCUUCGAUGACAAAUGCCACUGAAACACUCCACGCUACCUGGUCAAAAGCAGGCGUUAAGUUCAACGAUGGUGAAGACAGAGGUCAGGGAGAUCCUGAGGGGGGGCAACAACGUGCUCCUCCUCCCAUGGCAGCACCCACCAGAAUCUACAACAGCUGGCACAGCCGGAGAUGUUCUGCACUGUCCCUUACCGCAAAGGCAGGCGGGAGCCACGGGCACUUUCAAGUGCUCCAUCCGAGUUCUCAGACACAGCCUAGUUGAAGCCACAGCAUACAGGAAAAGGACCCGUCUGUAAAUGAUGCCUGCCAAAGGGCUCUCCCAGAACAUAGCCGGGCCUCAGGGUUUUAAUGCUGCCAGAACAUUCCAAGUCUCCUAUGCAGAAAUGUUCCUAUCUUCCACCUAGUUCUGGGAGACUGGUUUGAAUGUACAGACUUGCAUUAUCAAAAUCAGCACUGUUGCUGACACUAAGACCUCCAAUUCUGGGCUACUUUGUAGGUCUGGGGGAAGCCACCCCUUAAGGACAAGCGUUUUUGAGACGGAGUCUUGCUCUGUUGCCCAGGCUGGAGUGCAAUGGUGAGAUCUCAGCUCACUGCAACCUCUGCCUCCUGGGUUCAAGCGAUUCUCCUGCCUUAGCCUCCCAAGUAGCUGGGACUACAGGCACACACCACCACGCCCAGCUAAUUUUUUGUAUUUUUAGUAGAGACCAGGUUUCACCAUGUUGGCCAGGCUGGUCUCAAACUCUUGACCUCAGGUGCUCCACCCACCUUGGCUUCCCAACGUGCUGGGAUUACAGGCAUGAGCCACCACUUUCAGCCAUGGACAAAUUUUAGAAGUGACACUUCCAGUGUUUAUCACAAUGCUGUCAAUUCAUUUCUUUGUUCCAAUAAAAACUGACAAACUCGCUCUUCCAACAUAGAACCCUGGAACUCUUUUAAGAAAAGCGCUCACGCCUCUAAUCCCAACACCUUGGGAGGCCGAGCCACCGUGCCAGGCCACUCAAGCUUUCCUGACUUAACAUUCAAAGAGCACAUUAGUUUCCACAGCUAUCUGGGUUUCAUCUAUGGGCUACUGUUGAAGAUUUGUCCUCCCAAGGACUUCAUAUGGUGCCAAAUCUUUACCAUGGGAGAGGAUCAUCGAGAACCAGUUACAAAAAUGCAGCUUCCAAAGAGCCUCUGAUCGUAUCUGUGGCAUGCUUUCGAUUUUUAAGAGCCUCUUUUUUGAUGGAGAAGAGACACACACGACAGGAGCGAGCAGUUCCACUUUCCACCCGGCGUUCGUGCUAUGCCAUCUGCCUGUUCCUUCCUUGUUCCUUCUUCGUCCCCAGCUAAAUAUAGCUUCCCAAAACCCUGUCUAGUGCUUCUGGUACUCACUUCCUAGCAUCCCCUCCUCCCGGCCGUCGCUGUCCUGACGCUUCACAUACAGAGGCUGUGCUGGCUGACCCUGGCUGGGAGGCUCUAUUUCUUCCCCGUCCUCGUAACACUCAAGAGGACCUGAGAGGGCACCACCGGUGUCUCUCCAGGGUCUCUCAGUUUCCUUCCUCACAGGUCACUUGUGUGUUCUGGAGCCUCAGGCUGUCUCCGGUCACCGGCCUAUGUUUCCAGUCAACCUGAGCACUGCUUUCCCCUUUCUGACUAACCCAGACUCCCGCGUGCCUGUUACACACGUGGUGCCUUCAACGCCUUUGUUACUCCUGCAUCACACACCACUCCCUCCUCGGUGGUAAGUGUAGCCAGGGCUGCUCUUCCCACAGCCUCCUGCCCACUGGUGGAACCAUCCACAACAGAUGGGUCCACUUUCCAUGGAGUAAGACAGGGCGGGCAUCUGGACAGCUGAGAUCUCACUACAAAAAAGUAGUGUUGUUUCUACUUCGUUUUAUUCUCUUCCAAAUGCUAUCCACCUGGAUUUUACUUUCAAGUUUGGAAUUUUAAAACACACAGACAUUCUGGCCAGGCGCAGUGGCUCACGCCUGUAAUCCUGUAAAAGGGUCAGGCAGCCCUGACGUAUGAGAACCAGCCUGGCACUCGCAGCUUCGCCCUGGUGGAGGUGUUACUAUUGAAUAGAAUAAUCUCGCAGAACACUAACAUCAGAGAAGGUCACCUGUGUGACUGUGCUGAAAUAGGACCAAAAGUAAGUAAACUUUAAAAAAAACAACUCAUAAUCGUUUCUAAGUAGUGACAAAUCCAAGAUCAUCAUACAAACCACAAAAAUCACCAAAUAUCCCCUGCUCCCGGCCAGUAAGAGUGAGGGCCGAAUUCCCACAGUCCCCAGGUGCGUGUUUCCCUCGCGGCGAAGAGUAACAACUCUAGUUCUGCGGAACCACAUGUGUGUGCCUGGUGCUCUCUGGCUGCACUUGUAACAGCCAACCUCACAAAAGCUGAGGCCUUUUGAAACUCAAAACUGCCAAGCUGAACACCACAGUUUUUCUUUUUAUCUACCAUCACAGGAGUCUAGCCCACCACUUUAAAACCUCUAGCACUGGCCAGGCGUAGUGGCUCACGCCUGUAAUCCCAGCACUUUGGGAGGCAGAGGCAGGCGGAUCACCUGAGGUCAGGAGUUGGAGACCAGCCUGACCAAAGUGGAGAAACCCCCGUCUCUACUAAAAAUACAAAAUUUGUAAUCCCAGCACUUGGGGAGGCCAAGGCGGGCGGAUCACAAGCUCAGGAGAUCAAGACCAUCCUGGCUAACAUGGUGAAACCCCGUCUCUA
rnacentral:lncRNA from 1 species